GACGAACGCUGGCGGCGUGCUUAACACAUGCAAGUCGAACGAGUGGCGAACGGGUGAGUAACACGUGGGUGACCUGCCCUGCACUUCGGGAUAAGCCUGGGAAACUGGGUCUACUACCGGAUAGUGUGGGAUAGGCCCGCGGCCUAUCAGCUGGGUGGUGGGGUAAUGGCUAACAAGGCGCGACGGGGAGCCGGCCUGAGCGGGUGGACGGCCAACUUGGGACUGAGACACGGCCCAGACUCCUACGGGAGUCAGCAGUGGGGAAUAUUGCACAAUGGGCGGAAGCCUGAUGCAGCAACGCCGCGUGAGUGAAGAAGGUUGUCGGAUCGUAAAACUCUGUUGUUAGAAAAGCGGUAUCUAACCAGAAAGCCACGGCUAACUACGUGCCAGCAGCCGCGGUAAUAC
rnacentral:rRNA from 1 species